UGACGGGGGCCCGCACAAGCGGUGGAGCAUGUGGUUUAAUUCGAUGCAACGCGAAGAACCUUACCUACUCUUGACAUCCAGAGAACUUUCCAGAGAUGGAUUGGUGCCUUCGGGAACUCUGAGACAGGUGCUGCAUGGCUGUCGUCAGCUCGUGUUGUGAAAUGUUGGGUUAAGUCCCGCAACGAGCGCAACCCUUAUCCUUUGUUGCCAGCGGUUCGGCCGGGAACUCAAAGGAGACUGCCAGUGAUAAACUGGAGGAAGGUGGGGAUGACGUCAAGUCAUCAUGGCCCUUACGAGUAGGGCUACACACGUGCUACAAUGGCGCAUACAAAGAGAAGCGACCUCGCGAGAGCAAGCGGACCUCAUAAAGUGCGUCGUAGUCCGGAUUGGAGUCUGCAACUCGACUCCAUGAAGUCGGAAUCGCUAGUAAUCGUAGAUCAGAAUGCUACGGUGAAUACGUUCCCGGGCCUUGUACACACCGCCCGUCACACCAUGGGAGUGGGUUGCAAAAGAAGUAGGUAGCUUAACCUUCGGGAGGGCGCUUACCACUUUGUGAUUCAUGACUGGGGUGAAGUCGUAACAAGGUAACCGUAGGGGAACCUGCGGUUGGAUCACCUCCUUACCUAAUAGA
rnacentral:rRNA from 1 species